AUGAAUAUGCCAAGCAGGUAGCACGGCUGCCAAGGCUCAUCAGAGCCGGGUCUUGAACACGAAGGGCCGGUUGACCCAGCCCUGCCAGGUCUUGAAUGCCUACAGCAACAAAGGUGAAUAUCAGUUUCAUCAACGCAUUGCACAUGUUUUUGUUUAUUUGAACUUGGUUGAUGGUCUACCCAAAAACGGAAAGCAAAUAGUGAGCCGUAUGAAGCAUGGGUAAGGAACUUCACAAAAGAAGCUAGCUGACUGCAGAAAUCAACCUUUUCUUUUCCCUGCCGAUAAAAAUAUUGUUCUAUUCAGAUAUCUGUAAAGAUGAUCGUGUUAAGGGGAAUAUUGUCAUCAUUGGACUUCCUAACGUUAGCAUAAAAAAAUAUGCAACUAACAAAACUCAUGCGGUGUACACAGAACGGCAAUGCUGGUACAACUUGUUCAUCUACUCUAGUAAAUAUCAUUGUAAGAACCAGUUUCCAAGUAUUACUAAUUUAACAAUUGGUGGUCAGGUAGCCACAAAAGCGCAGAACAUAACUGAAGAGUAAAAAGUAGCAGACAAUGUGGGUCGUAGCAAGAAAAAUAUCACAUGGGUCGCAGAGGAGGAUGGGGUUAC
rnacentral:lncRNA from 1 species